UAGAGAGACAGGAAGGUCACCCAACCCACCCAUCACUUGAGGCAGAGGAAUCACAGAACUCUUCUCAGAGGGCAUGGGUUACAGCCCAUAUUCUUCAGAUUCUGCUGGACUGGAUCUACUCCCUAGACACACAAGGAAACAAGCUCUAAAGGGCCUGGCAACAGAAGAAGAUGAAGAAGAUGCUCAGAGAGAAGAUGACCUGCAGUCUUGACCUAACUCCAGGCGAGAGUGAGUGAUGACAACAAGGAGGAAGAGGGUAGGGCUACGGUUUUCUGAGUGUUUAGAAAAGGAGCUACAAAGGAAUAUGGCAGCUGCUGUCAACUAUUUCUCAAAGUCAGAAGGCUUUGUGAGGAUGGACGAAUACAGAGUUGGAUUCAGCACACUGAGCCAUCACUUCAGAGGCCCCAGCCCACUCUCCUGGAUUGUGAAGGGCCCACCUGGGCUGCAAGCAGGAGAAUGUUCUUGCCACUUGUUUGAGCAUCAUGUCUCUGCCUGAGGCUGCUGCUGUUAGAGAGGCACUGGAGACUUAGGUGGGAAAAGGCUAUCCAUGAGACUUUGGACUCCUUCCCUCCACCCCCUGUUGCUUCUGCCAAGGUGGACAGUGAGAGAGGAAGGCCCGUUCUCUACGGCUUGCACACCAGCAUACGAAGAACAUCUGCAGAGGUUCAAUUUCAUCCCCUCGGUUUUGCAAGAGAGAAGCGCUCUCAGACAGAAAAGCCUGAAAAAGCCACCUGUUUCACACAUAAGAAAAGUUGCUGACUUGUCUCAGUUUGGUUGAUGCGAUAAUUGAAACCUCACAAAAAUAUAUAACCUAAUUGGACAAGGGGUCACAUUUCUGUAAUUUGUGAGACUUCUUGAAAGUGGUGGAUAGAAGCCCAAGGAGUUCAAGCUAAAUCUAGAGAGCUGGUUCUACAUGUCGGAGAACUGAUUUCUUCCAUAAGGAGCAAUAAUGUUUUCCCUCCUGGAAAAACAUCUUGGAUAUCCAGUAUCUGGUUGUAUUAUAACCUGAAAAGAGAAGCUUAUUGAGAAACCAGUACAUUUUUAAAAAUAGGUCCUAGUAAAUGUUGCCAUUUUUGAAAUGAGAUAGCAUAGCUCAAUGUUUCUUCAAAAUGCACACUUUUUACAUCAUUUCAUAAAUGGUAUGUGUGUAUACACAGAAACUGGAAUAUUAUUCAGCUGUAAUAAAGAAUAAAAAUCUCAGCAUUUGCAACAGCCUGGAUAGAUCUUGCGCACAUUACGCUAAAUGGA